rnacentral:lncRNA from 1 species
CUUAAUGUCAUUUUUAUAGUAGGUCGUAUUGAGCAUCAGGUGAUUGAGUGAGCAGUUCUAUUCAUGAGACAUUAACGAAGGGUGGCUUCCAUAGAUGAUACAACAAUGCAGGACUUCUGGACUUGCUCAUUGCACAGAAGGCGAAAGAGAGUUUUAUUAACAGAGGUGUUGAACCCAAAGAUUGGACGGCAAGGUAAACUAACUUGCCCAUAAUGGGAAACCUCCCCUUUUGUGAGUGAUUGGCUGUUAUUCUCUUUAAAGAUCUUUAUGGGAUUGAGUAUGGCUCCAAGAUCUGCAUGGAUCAUGUGAGGCAGACUCUGUAAACAAUGCAUCGGGCAAAUCAGUUUGAUUUGAUGCUUGCUAAGGAAAGAAGAUAGAAGAAGAAAAAGAAAAGCAGUAUGUCAUAAAGGUGUUAGAAAAUGGUGUUGGGACCAGAAUGAAGGUUGGUUGUAUUGUGGAAGAAUGCUUCUUUAGUAGUAAUUUGGAGGCAUGGUUAUGCUACUGUUGAUUGUAAUUUAUUGCUAUUUUUUUAAGUGCAGGCGAAGAGGCCACAAAGAAGGGGGAAAAAGAGAGGCAAAGAGGCCAUAUUUGUUUUGAACACCAUGUGCCAUGCACUGCUAAAUCUCAUGUUUUUGAGAUCCCGGGGAGAUUGAUUCCUUAUAUAUAAAAGAAAAACAUUAGAAACGGAUGGAAGGAAGAGAGAGAGAGAGAGUUAGAAUGGUUUUAUUAUGAUCAUUUAGUUUGUGUUAAAUGCGAUGAUGAGGUUUAUGAAUCAAAAGAGUUGACUAGGAACAGAAAAAUGAACAAUUUAAGAAAUGAGCAAUUUAAGAAAAAUGAAUCACAUUGCAAUGCAUUUAAAAAGAAAAAUGAACAAUAUAAGAAAUGAGCAAUUUAAGAACUUAGUUACAGGAGUCAGAAGUGGGAUGGAGGGCAGAUUUGGAUACGAGAGCAUGGAAGCAUAACCAUCAUAGAAAUUUAAAGUCAGCAAGUGAUAAGGUAGUGGGUGUGGGAAAGAGAUUCUAAGUAGAAGAUUGUGGCUACUAAGUUUAAGAAGCAUGUUCACUGCUGGGAAGUGGUUGUUUAGUAGAUAGACAAACAAUGCCAAGGGCAAAUGGGGGAUUGGAAAUUAUUAUGACGCUUCUGCUGUGGAAUCACAAUGUAUAUGCUCUAAGGUGAUGGUCUCCAUUUUAAGUUCUUUAAUUUGUACAUGGUGAAAAAACCUAGCUAUGGGCCACUUGUAUGACGAACUGGAUAAAUGUAAAAAGGCUAUCAAGAACAUAUUCAAUGUGAGCAUAGAGAGAUGCACCUUUGAAAUAUUGGUACAAGAAAAAGAAAAAUAAAUCACUGAUACAUGAUGCAGGGUUGUCAAAAGUGGCUGCUUAUGCAGCCGCUUAGUUGUGCUAGACCAUUUAAGCUUUAACCUGAAGCACUGAGCUGCCAUUUAGUCCAUUUAGCUGCUUUGACAUUUGUUUACAUGCUUAAGUUGAUGCUUAGUCUUCUUAACUGUUCAGUAUGAGCCACUGAUUGGAUUAAAAUGUUGAUGUGAGAAUGCUUAGCAAAUCAUAUUUUUAGUAGUAAAUAUUUAUACUCUAAUGUAUUACCUAGCAUAUUGUGGCACAUAAUAGCUACAUGAAGAUUGUUAUGCAUUUUGGUGCGUCAUUAUUCCUAUAAAGUGUCAAAUACUUGUUUGUUUGUGUCUACUUUUUCUCCAUUUACCUGUAGAGCCAUAUAUGCAGUCAUGAUCCCUGUAAAAGAAAGGAAAAUUCUGAUUAGUCAAGGCAGUAUUAGUUAGCAUGUCUAUUGGUCAUUCCAGCUUAUUUUGGAUUAAAUACAAUUUUUCUGACAGCUUAAGCAUUUAGCUUUCUUUUUAAGUGCACAAGCUUUUUAAAAUACUUGUGGAUUUUUGCAUAUCUAAUGACAAUCUAACUGUUUCGACAACCACGAUGAGAUGGGAUUAUCAACUUGACUGUUAGAUGAACAUAACAAAGUGACUGUGCUUGUGUUGGGGAAUUAGUUCCAAGAAUUGAUGGGUAGAAAAAUCAUAAGUGAAUCACUGAAAUUUAAGAGCACCAAGGACCACUUUGAAAUUUCAAUGACCAUUAGAUUGGGAAAAACAUGGUCUCCAAGUAUAAAUACUUGUAGGCAGGAAAUACUUUAUACUAGGCAAAGUAUUUUGUGCUUACAAAACUACACAGCUAAAAAGCUGAAUUUAUAUGGAAUCACAGCUCGUAAUUUGCAAACACAAGCAAAUGGAAAUUCUUGGUUUGACUUGUUUGUGAAGAGUGGUUGAACAUGUGAAUAUAUGCUCUACUAACUACUAAGAUUGCUUUCAAUAAUCAUACACUAUUGUUAACAGAUGAAAUAAGACCAGCUAAAGAUACUACUUGAUUUAUAGGGUUUGUUUUUUAAUAUGGGCCUUAGUGCACACAAAGAAAGGUGUGGUUUUGCUAAUCCCAUCUGAUGUAUAAAUUUUCCCCUUUUUUUGAAAAAACUAUCAUUUUAUUAAUUUUGGGCAAUUCACAUAUGCCUGGCAGCUGGUUAGGUUCCACGUGCCAAUCUUUCUGGUACUGCUGAGUGCUGACAAUGAUAGUCUAUGUAUUUACCACUGGAACUUUAUUGGAGAUUGUUAAUUUUUCCAACUGAUGUAAUCUCAUUUGCUGUUCCAGGAGAAUGAUUUCCUUCAUCGAUCCAGACAGCAUGUACUUCAUUAUAUUUCGGACUUCCUGAAUACAUUAUUAAGCCCUGAUCAACUUAUUGAAUUGUUAUUUUGUUGGACCAAGUGUUUCAGGACUUGAUAAUUUGUAAUUGGAAAGAUGAAUCUGUAAAGUAUGUGUACAUAUUUUACUGAUUA